CCUACGGGAGGCAGCAGUGAGGAAUAUUGGUCAAUGGCCGGAAGGCUGAACCAGCCAUGCCGCGUGAAGGUCAGUGCCCUAUGGGCGUUAAACUUCUUUUGUGCGGGAGCAAUAAUGGUCACGUGUGGCCAGACGAGAGUACCGGACGAAUAAGCAACGGCUAACUCCGUGCCAGCAGCCGCGGUAAUAAGGGGGAUGCAAGCGUUAUACGGAGUUAUGGGGUUUAAAGGGUGCGUAGGCUGUGAGGUAAGUCAGUGGUGAAAUGCCCCCGCUCAACGGGGUGAAGUGUCAUUGAUACUGCCUUGCUGGAGUGCAGAUGCCGUGGGAGGAAUGUGUGGUGUAGCGGUGAAAUGCAUAGAUAUCACACAGAACACCGAUUGCGAAGGCAUCUCACGAAUCCGCGAUUGACGCUGAUGCACGAAAGCGUGGGUAUCAAACAGGAUUAGAUACCCUAGUAGUC
rnacentral:rRNA from 1 species